rnacentral:rRNA from 1 species
GACGAACGCUGGCGGCGUGCUUAACACAUGCAAGUCGAGCGGAAAGGCUCCUUCGGGGGUACUUGAGCGGCGAACGGGUGAGUAACACGUGAGUAAUCUGCCCUGCGCUCUGGGAUAGCCACCGGAAACGGUGAUUAAUACCGGAUAUGACCGCUACACGCAUGUGUUGGUGGUGGAAAGUUUUUCGGCGCAGGAUGUGCUCGCGGCCUAUCAGCUUGUUGGUGAGGUAAUGGCUCACCAAGGCUUUGACGGGUAGCCGGCCUGAGAGGGUGGCCGGUCACACUGGGACUGAGACACGGCCCAGACUCCUACGGGAGGCAGCAGUGGGGAAUAUUGGACAAUGGGCGGAAGCCUGAUCCAGCAACGCCGCGUGAGGGAUGACGGCCUUCGGGUUGUAAACCUCUUUCAGUACCGACGAAGCGAAAGUGACGGUAGGUACAGAAGAAGGACCGGCCAACUACGUGCCAGCCGCCGCCGUAACAC